GUUGUCCAGAAAUAGAAUUUUAGUUCUACCUAAAACUUACCACAAAAACAAAAUAAUUCCAAUGUAAGUUUUAGAGAUAUUCAAAAGGGGUACAGCUCUUUUGACCAAGGAUACAACCUUGAUUAGCGAGUAAAUUCACCAUUAAUUUCAUAGUUGGCUUAGAAGCAGCCAUCAAUUAAGAAAGCGUUAAAGCUCAACAACCAACCAAACUAAAAAGAUUCCAAAAUUAAUUAAUGAUCUCCUAAACAUAAUACUGGACUAAUCUAUAUAAAUAGAAGAAAUAAUGUUAGUAUAAGUAAUAAGAAGUAUUUCUCCCUGCAUAAGCUUAUAUCAGGUCGGAUGCCCGCUGAUAGUUAACAACCGAAUAAUUAGAUACAAAAAUAGAACCUUUAUUAUACCAAUUGUUAACCCAACACAGGCAUGCUUAAGGGAAAGAUUAAAAGAAGGAAAAGGAACUCGGCAAACACAAACCCCGCCUGUUUACCAAAAACAUCACCUCGAGCAUUACUAGUAUUCGAGGCACUGCCUGCCCAGUGACCAAGCGUUAAACGGCCGCGGUACUCUG
rnacentral:rRNA from 1 species